GAUGAACGCUGGCGGCGUGCCUAAUACAUGCAAGUCGAGCGAACGGACGAGAAGCUUGCUUCUCUGAUGUUAGCGGCGGACGGGUGAGUAACACGUGGAUAACCUACCUAUAAGACUGGGAUAACUUCGGGAAACCGUAGCUAAUACCGGAUAAUAUUUUGAACCGCAUGGUUCAAAAGUGAAAGACGGUCUUGCUGUCACUUAUAGAUGGAUCCGCGCUGCAUUAGCUAGUUGGUAAGGUAACGGCUUACCAAGGCAACGAUGCAUAGCCGACCUGAGAGGGUGAUCGGCCACACUGGAACUGAGACACGGUCCAGACUCCUACGGGAGGCAGCAGUAGGGAAAUCUUCCGCAAUGGGCGAAAGCCUGACGGAGCAACGCCGCGUGAGUGAUGAAGGUCUUCGGAUCGUAAAACUCUGUUAUUAGGGAAGAACAUAUGUGUAAGUAACUGUGCACAUCUUGACGGUACCUAAUCAGAAAGCCACGGCUAACUACGUG
rnacentral:rRNA from 1 species